rnacentral:rRNA from 1 species
GCAGUAGCCACGGUAAUACAGAGGGUGCGAGCGUUAAUCGGAUUUACUGGGCGUAAAGCGUGCGUAGGCGGCUUCUUAAGUCGGAUGUGAAAUCCCUGAGCUUAACUUAGGAAUUGCAUUCGAUACUGGGAAGCUAGAGUAUGGGAGAGGAUGGUAUAAUUCCAGGUGUAGCGGUGAAAUGCGUAGAGAUCUGGAGGAAUACCGAUGGCGAAGGCAGCCAUCUGGCCUAAUACUGACGCUGAGGUACGAAAGCAUGGGGAGCAAACAGGAUUAGAUACCCGCGUAGUCCCUGUCUCUUAUAC